rnacentral:miRNA from 1 species
GAAGGCGCCGCCCCCGGAUCCGGGGACGGCGCCUUC